GAGGGGAGAACGAGAUAGCCUUCAUUGCGUAACCGUGCGCGGGUAUAUACGGUGCGCCCUUUCGCGCGUGCAGUCUUUCAUGGGAUUUUCAUUCAAUUUGUCUGUCAUACCGAAAAAUGAGUUCAAAGCGUAAAGUUGUCGUCGUCGUCGUCGUCGCGGUUGAUGGCCACUGUGUUUUGCGUGUUUGUGGUAUUUCCUAUUUUUGAGAAAAAGUGCAGAUUUUUAGGAUUUUGGAAUCGAAAUUCCAUGUCGACGCGGUAGGCGUGCUGUGUGACUAAGCCGAGGUCAAGCUUUGGAAGCAUUUAACGGCUGGAUGGUGCGUGUUUUUGGAGACGAAUCAAAAGUGCUAGAUUUGCAGAUUUUUUUUUUCGUGAGGGGUAAAUUUAAAACUCUGAUCGCAGCGAAGCGAGUGCGAGUGCAGAUGGAAUGGAAUGAUGGGCGCUAGGGGCGGAAGCUGGUCAGAGGAAGCGAGCGGGCCACAAAGAGAAGGGAGCAAACUGGUGGCUGAAGUUAAUGAGUUGUGCAAGCAGCAGUCGGGGCCACAGCGAAUGAAAUCAGUGAAGAAAUCGAAGAUGAAAAAUAUACAAGCGAUGCAUGUUGUGUGAAAAGUACUGCCUGAAAUUGGGGCAGGUGUGUUUUAACUUGGGGAUAAAAUCGUUAUUCGGAGGCGAUAGGAGUUUGUUCGGGGAAGAAUCUGCCUUUUUGGCAUGGAAAAAUAGCAUUCAUCAUUGAUGGAAAUGCAAUAAAGUAUUUGUUUAAAUUGUAGGUUGAGUGCAGUGAAGACGAAAAGGAGUUACAAGCGAAACUGUGCUUGUAAGUAGUCAAGAAGGAUACAAAUCGACUACGUUGAAUGGAAAAAACCAACGGAGAAAAUUGUGUAAGUGCGUGAAAGUGGAAAUACUUUUAAUUGCAACAGCAUCCAGAAAUCCACGUUAGAAGGAAUAAAGGCCAACAUAAAAUCAAGUGAAGUGGAAUUUAUGUGAAUCUAUGAUCAUUGUGAAAAAUUCAUGAAGAAACACCCUUUUAGAUUAAUUGUUUACGUGGUAAGAAAAAAGUUCAGCCUCUGCUUCGCUUGCUGACGGAAUGACAUGCAGCCAUUGAUUCUCCGAUAAAAAGUGCCCUCGACGCAUCAAAUCAUAAAUGGCAGCGUCGAAUGCUGAUGUCAUGCGUGGCAGUGGACCCUCCGUCGCUGCCCCUGGCUCAGCAAUUCAGCAAAUCGCACAUCACCAGCUGGCAUCAACUAUAUCAACUCAACAGCAUCACUCGAUCCCACCAAACCAUCACAUCCAGCAACUGCAGAAUCUGACGCAGCAAACCGUAACAGUAGCAGCCGGACAUCACCAUGUAUCGAACAACCCAAGUGCAAUGGUGCACCAUCACCAUCGAGUGCAGCAGCAGCAGCAACAACAUCAACUUCAACAGCUGGCGCAGCAACAGCCGCUUCAGCAUCCCUCGUUACAGCACAGGAUUGGCCAGUACAAUGGAAACAUGGGUAAUUUGAUGUUUCCUUCUUCCGAAAAUCUUUCCGGGCCGGGCAGCAGCAACGACACGAAUCUCGCCGCAAGUGCCAGUGCCAGUGAUAUCAGCAAUACCGCGGUUGUAAAUAUAGCUAGUGUGAAUCAUCAUCCUACGUUGGGUAGCGUCGCCGCGAAGGAUGGUGUAGCGAAUAACAGCAGUACCAUCAAUCCCGUCUUGAACAGGAUAGCCACGAAUGUUGCUGGUAGCAUUCCAGUAGAAAAUGUACCAGUUAUGCAGCAACAACAGCAGCAACCAUUAAGUGAGAGUUUGUCUCCAAAAGCGGGGGGUAGUGCUGUGACGCGAAGCAACGUUGCUCCUGGUUGGAGGAGGAUAAAAUACAAUUGCGAGAUUAUCUACAUAAGUCCUUCCGGUGCAGCGCUUCGGAAUUUCAAUCAAGUCAAGGAAUAUCUGCUCAGCGGCGGCACAUGCAAAUGUGGUCUUCCUUGUCCCUUUCGUCCCGAGGCAUUCUUCGAGUUCGAUUCUCAGGUUCCUAAUGCAACGCUGGACGCUAUUAGCAGUAUACCUCACAAUUUAUGUUUACAUCACACACGAUAUCUGGAAAAGGUGGAACUUGUACGACGGGGGAAAAAGCCUCUAGAUUCUGAUAACUGUCACAACAUUUUAAAACCCGAUCAUCCUCCUACACUUCCGCAAACUGAACCCUCAACAUUCGCGUCGCAUGGGCGGCUCACCAUUCCCAGUACAAACUCAGCGGCACAGUUAGGCCAAAAUGCCCUUUUUCAACCUGAUAAGGACAUCACUAGCAUACCGUUAUCGAAAACACCUCCGUGGCGAAAGAAUGCUCCUUCCUCGUCGUCCAGUGCAUCCUCGAUUGUAAGUCAACGACAAAUGCCACCCUCUCCUAGUGCUGCGCCAUGUGAGAGUCCCGUACAAAGUUUAAAUCAAAACGAGCAAAUAGUCAAAAGUAGUAGAGCAAUUAGCGAGUCACCAAACCCACCUGGCUGGACGAAUGAAGGCCUCCGAGUGCCAUUGGAAGAUACGAAAUCAAAACCGGUGCAUAAGAAGCGGCCCAAUUUUAAAGAUGAUCCAACGGGGUACCUCAACCAACAAACGGCCAUCCUUCAUAGUUCUAUAUCAACGUUACACAGCCCGGAUGGGUCGUCUUCGUCUCAGGAGAGCCCUCAGCCUAAAGCGGCUGGAGGUAGCUUCGAUAGUGGAGAUUUAAAUGAAUCGACGGAAAGAGCAGAAAGAGGCAUUGUCAGCAGUAACACGACUACCCUAGGUGGUCAAACCGUUACCCAUGUUGCAAACGGCAUGGUUCAGGUACAGCAGAACUGUGAUAUUAGUCAUAUGAAAUUCCAACAGCAAUUGCAAUUUCAACAGCAACUGCAAAGGCAGAGUCAACUCAUCCGACAGCACCAUGAACAAAUCCAGUUGCUCCAGCAGCAACAGCAACAUCAAAUUGCUGGAGAUGAAGAUUCAUCCAAAUCCAAAUCUCCAGCUGCAACCAGCAACGUAACGUUUAUAACGAGUCGAACUCCGGAUAUAACUUCCACUUCGUCAGUCACUCCGGAUCCAAAGGAUCCAGUUCAAGGGGGAACCGUAUCCACCAGCAUACGGAGUCCCUUAUUCCAGGCAAACGCCGUUGGAGUCGGUCGGUCAGAAUCUCCCGAGCAGUUCGGAGCUAGAAAUCUCGCCCAUGGCAGCAUCAACGUGACCAAGGUGCAGCCAUUUAUAAAUGAACAACCUCGAAGUAGCCGAGUAGUGGGUAGCGCUGGUAAAGCGGGAAAUGCCACCGGAAUCAGUUCCAUCGGUAAACUGACGAAAAGUUCGUCGAGGGAGGUAGACAGCGAGAAAUUGUUAGUACAAAGUAAUAUGCCGGCGAAUUCUCCUGGAGUUGUACAUGGUCUUGCUCAUCAACAAAACCCCCAAGGUCAGAUGAUUUCUCAGCCGCAACAAGUGCUAAUGACAUCGAGUGGGCAAAUUAUUGUUAUGUCGGCACAGCCUAAUAAAAAUUCUGGCCAAGUUGUAGUUACAAACAAUGCUACUUCAAGUACGGGCGCCUCAUCGAAUCUGAUUCAUUCGCAACAGUCGGUAGUGGGAGGUAACGGCACUCAGUAUAUGAACAUAGCUGGUCCCGGGGGCACUGUUACCACUAUCGCAACCAAUAAUAACGGGAUUAUACAAAAUAUAUCUCAACAGCAGCAACAACAUCAACAAAAUAUUAUUCAUGCUGGCCAACAAUCGAAUGUUAAUUCCAACUUUUUGAUUAACUCCCCAAAUAACAUGCAAUCUACUGUGAUAUUGAAUAAUGGACAGCAAAUACUCUCCGCUUCAAACAAUCCCCAAGUUAUUCAUUCUGGAAAAGUUCUCGCAACUGCAGCCGCUAAAGUGAUAGGAAAUGCUGGAGCCGGUGGAAUGAUUUCGAAUCAACUGAUUAACACCAACAAUCCAGCUCCAAAUAUACCGACCAACAACAGCGGUGUCAUAUCCCAACAAUCCGGUACUACAAUGGUAAUGAAUAGUCUACCUCCGAAUAGCAUUGUCAUACAACCAAACUAUAGCUCCGUUAGCGACGGUACACAAAUAGUGAAUCAAGUAAUCAAUCAAGAUGGAACCACUACUUCGUUUGUACAACAUCAAAACCAACAGCGACAAAUUUUAAUAUCACCGGAUUCUAAGCGGAAGGCCAAAAAACGGAAAAGUAAUGGAUCAGUGCCCAUGGCUGUUACGGGUUCCAGCCCACAGCAACCACAACACACAAUGCAACUUACUGCGACACAUUCUCCUCAGCAACAGCCAACGGCAGUCCAACAACAAACAAUCCAAUCGGUUAACCAAGGCACAAUGCUGCAGCUUACUCCGCAGUAUUCCACUCAAAGCUUCCAGCUCAGCCCAGGAUUAUCGGGACUAACAAUUGUCCCGAACCAGAAACCGCAACAACACCAUCAGCAGCAGCAAAUCCUGCUUCAAAACGGUCAAAUAAUAACCCAACCGUACAAUAUUAUAAGCCAACAAGUGUUGUUACCAGCUGGUUUGGUAAUGGCACCGGAUGCCACAACGCUUGUUCAAAUUCAAAAUGUCGCCACUCCAUGUGGAAGUAUCAUAACCACUCCCCAGGGCAUGGUCAUACGGGCCCAAAGUCCACAUCAGCAGAAAAGUUUCAUCUCCCCCAACACCGGCCAGCAGUUCAUUCUGAACAACAAUGGUCAAGUCAGUCCCAUGGGGGCGCAAAUCUACGGAGGGCCGGUUAACAUCGUGGUCCCUCAACAACAGGCUGGACCUGCAGCAUCCUCUUUUGUGUCGCAAAAUGCCACCAUUCUUCAACAGCAGCCCACUGCCAUCGUCCAUCAGCAACAGCCAAUCCAGGUGCAAAGCGCAGCAAACCUAAACACCAGCACCGAUAGCAGUAGUACGGCAAGCGAGAGUCCUUCCCUGCCAACGACUCCACAACCACCGCCCAUUGUGAUGCACCACCAGCCGCAGAAAAGUCACUCGUCGUACCUCUCCGGUGCUGCUUCGCCUCCGGACACCACGACGCAUAGUCCCAACAGUCCGGAUUGCGCGUCCAGUGAAAAGAGUGCCGGCAGUGCGGACAGUACGAACAUGGCUAUGGUGCAAUGUGUUUCCAGUUCGGAGCCGGAUCUCGUGUCGCCAACGGUGGUGGCGGAAGGUGCCCAAUCGCCGUCCGAUUCAUCGGAGUAUUUUGAGCAUGGAGGUGGCACGUCAUACCAGCGAUCACUGUGCAAACCAUUGGAAUCCAAAAUUAGACGCAUGCAAACGCCAUUCUCCCACCAGCAGUCAUCGUCAUAUGUCCGUAGCAGUAGCACCAUAAUUGAAGGCAGUAGUAGCACCGGAAAUAGCAGCAUCACCAGCAACCUAAGCACUAGCCAUUCCCAUCUUCAUCAGACUCAAAUUGCACCCACACUGCAGCAGCAGUCCCACCACCAUCAAAGCUACAGUUCGUCAGCGAUGCUGCGCCAGUCUAGUUCACCUGCUUCUGGUGCUCUGCCCGAUUCCCACGGACACCUUCAUCAGCAACAUCAGCAGCAACUGCAACUUUCUCAGGGCCUCUUUUACCCAAGGUUAGCAUACAUGAGUACUUUAAUUUAGAACAUGUUAUGUGGCUUGUGGUCUAGUACGCUUGAAUGGCCGUUUGUAGAACCACAGUAGAGUGUUGGUUUCCUCGCUAUGUAUGUUUGAAUCUACAAGAAUAGAAAGCCAAACUGAAUCCGAGCCCACACCACAAAAGCUCUUUUUUCACAAAUUCAUCUUUCUUUCGGCUUAGAUGGAUUUGUGAAAAAAAGGAGUGUUCAUGGUGUGUCGUGUCGGAUAUAGCAUUAUCAUUGUACCGUAUAACAUUCUUUGCGAUGAAACCAACAAACUGCGUUAUGAAUGUGAUUAGAAAUGUGAAAUGUAAAUUCGCUUUUUGUGUACACAUGUACUUAUGCCAGCAAAAACGUUCGUUCGAGGCUUGCUACAAUGUAACACGCUUCACUGAUUUGGUGGUACACGUCGGACUCGACUAUCCGAAGUCACAUUCCGAAGCUUCCCAAAUAUUUAAGUAUCUUGCAGACGAUAUGCCUUUCGUCGAUGAAAUGUUGAUCGAAUUACUGAUCAAAUUUUGUUUGGAAACAUUCAAAACUUGAUAACUUGAUACAUAAAUUAUGUAGUUAACGCCAAAAUUGGACGGUCAUUGUUGUUUUUUUUUUGGGUUGGUAUUCACCUUUUUUGUUUAAUUCAAAUUUAAAUUUACGAAGGAAAGUGGUUACAAUCACCUAUAGUAAUGGUAAUGUAGUUAGUGCGCAUGCAUGCUUGAUUGUUUUUAUCCUGCUAGAAUUUCAUUUUGAUUUUUUUUAAUUGUAUUUUAUUUCUUGAUCGUGAGUCUGUACCAUCUACCUAUAUACAUAAAAAUGGAAUGGCGUUUGUAUGUCACGUAUGGGAUCGGGAACGCAAUCAACGGAUUCACAAAACUCUUUUACUACGUGGCUGGCUCUGCUAGAGAGGAGCGUUAUGACGGAAAGCUUAACGGCUGCCUAUGUUAAGUGUUCCAAGAUCUGCAGUACUACACAAGUAUUCCAUCAAUAACUGGAACCGCUCAAAUCACGGUUUGAGCUGUCUCAGAUCAUGUGAUAAACACUAGCAUUGCUUCCCACAAUUAGCGGAAGGCUUUGCGAAGAGCACUAUACGAUGACUUGUCUGAAAACAUCAGUACUGAGGUGUUGCUAUUUGAAAGCAUCAGUACCGAACAAUAGAUUCAAUAUUUCCUAUUAAGCUUUCCAAACAGAUGCAUUGAUUGUGACAGCACAAUAGCACAUACACCUUUGGUGGUCAUUUCAGAGACGAGUGUAGCAAUGAUUGCGUUGUUGACAAGCACACAUGCUCGAGGUGUGACACGCGAGUUUGCCAUUGAGUUUUUACUGUAAGUGGAAAACAUUGGAUUAACAAGCUUACCUAUCUAGAUUUACAUCGCCGUCGCAGGAAUCCGUUUAACGGAUUACCGUCAACAAGUGCUCAGUUCAAUAUCAAGCUACCAUUGACCAAGGAGGAGGGUUGUUUCGGGGCAUUUUUUGCGUCAAAGAGGAUAUCAACAAUGGUGAUGGCGGUGCGGCUACCAUUGCACAGUAGUCCAGAAAUCAACGUUGUGAAGGUUUCCAGAGCACCUAUAGCUGACCCAGAGAAGCGAGUGGCAACCGUGGCAAUAUCAGCCAACUUCUAGGCAGAAUACCCAACAAAGUUUGACCUCAAGUACUCCCUGGUCAUCCAGCGAAACUCCCAGGCCGAGUUCCCAAAUUUGUUCUUAGUGGAGGAGCUUAUUUGAUUCACUAUAGUGAGCUACUUAUUACACAGGCUUUCGUAUUGCCAAUCGAGGGCAGUGCAAUUUCUCGCCCUCAGCGAACCAAUCAUUUGAUAUGAAUUUCUACAAUGGCUAUCCUUUUAUCGCUCAUGUUUGUGAAUUGGAGCUGCCGUUCCAUCCGAAACAAGGCUGAAGUUUUUUUUCGCAUUCUUGUAACCCACGGAAUAGACAUGGUUGUAAUCACAGCAUGGCUGCAGCUCAACAUUUCAUUGUACCACGAAAACUGCACCAUUGUUAGAGCGGAUCCAGACUCGUCGGAAGCUACAGGAGGAGAAGGAGUGACGAUUCUGAUGAGGAAUAGAAUUUCUUAUUCCAUGUUGAGAGUGUUGAAUAAGCUUUUAUUAUUAGCAUAAAAAAUCUAUGCUGGAAACUUUGACGCGGGUAACCGAAAUAGGCGGGAUAUUUGGACAGGGUAGAUCCAACAGCCGUGAACUUAACAAGUAAUCAUUAUUUCGCCUUUUUGGGCUUAUAGGGCUAUUACUCGGCUAACAUAGAACACGCCAGUUUCAUGACUACACUGUAAUAGCACGCAAGACGAAUAAUAGAGCCUUGUGGUUAUUGGGUUCCUAACAACUGUCUACCAUACUGGCUCAAAUCACAGAGCAACACUUUGUCAAUUUGGACGUGAUAUUCGCCAGAUCAUCACUAGGUAUUAACGCAUUUGCUCAAAAGUUCACACGACCUAUCCCCAAGGAAAGGAACAGCCGCCUUGCGCUUACCGCAUUGGCGGUAGCCGCAGCCUCCUCACGUUGCUCUGGUAAAGCCAAAGGAGGUGAAGUCAAUCAUCCAAUCGCUAAACAAUCGCAAAUCACCCGGGCAGGAUGGUAUUAGGAAUAUCUGCUCCAAGCAGUUAUCAAGAAAAGGAUUGGCUGUACGGAUUAAAAUCUUUAACGCGUGACUGCGCAACUUCCCAAUUGAAUAGAAACAAGUCAACGUGAUAGCUAUCUAAUCCAGGUAACUGCUGACCGAUUUGCCUCCGAAAAAGUUCGAUAAGUUCGAACAAAGUAUUCCACAAAGCAGAGCAAUGUAUUCCACCCCAAAAGUUCGGCUCAACGAUACAUAAACUUGCGCGCAUAUCGCAAGAUGUGAAGCACUUGGUCCUAAUGGGAAAGUCGACUGGUGAUUCUCCUGGACGUUGAAGAAUCCUAUGUCUCCGUUUUUCAGAACGCCGAGGCUUUUAAUUUCUUCCGCUUCAAUCUCCAUCAUUGUCUAGUUAAACAUUUCUCAGUGAUGAUAAACGUUGAGUUCUGUCGCACUCACAACAUUCCUUUUGGUGUACCGCACAAGGCUUCUCUCCGUUUCUCUCCUCUGACGUACGGAUAGUCGACGGUGUAACAUCAGACGGCCGGAUCCAAAGGCACGAUAUCCUCCAUUUGGGACAUUUGUGUCAUUAACCAUCAACUCAGUCAUCCAAAGCCCUAUCAGUAGGUCGGCUCCAGAGGCACGUUCUCCCGAAAAGUCAAAGCCCUAUAUUAUUUGCUGAAUCGCCGAUAGAGGUCGCGUUGGAAGAGCGAGUUGUUGAUGCUCAAGGGCAUCAUCCAGUCAAUUUUAACCUACGCGUGUACGGUUUAGAGUGACUGAAUCAAAUCUCACCGUAAAUGACGCCACCUGAAGCAGAACAAGCUGUUCAAGAUGGUCCUCAACCUGAACUCCCGGUAUUCGAAGUGGCGCAAGUGUUGAACGUGCUACGAGAUUCUUCAAGGGUUCCUGUAUGAAUCCAUUCAUCGCAGCACUUCUCCCUUAACAUCUCUCAAACCACCGUGGUUGUUGAAAAGCUGAACACGUUUACGUAUUAGUUUAUAUUAGAAUGAGCGGGAAGAAUAAAAACGAUCAACAGAUUUGAAACAAUGUAAUAAAAGCAAUUACUCCCUUUUGAAGUGUUUGUGCCGAUCUUGUUUUUUUACUCUGAAAACCCGUUUUCCCUAAGCUUAUUUCCUAAUGUUGUAAAUACGUCUAUCAAUGACAUUGAGUUGUUCUCAGCUGAAAGGUUAUUUAAAUCUCUAAAUUGCUAAUGUUAAGUUAUUUUCUUUUGAUAAAUAUAAAAAAUGCUAUUCGCUGUGCAACAUUUAAGGCAAAUCAAAAAAGCAAAUGAAAAACUGAAAAUUUUUCGUGUUGUUCAUCUGGUUUACCUACAUAAACCAUGAUAACAUAACCCGGUGGUCAUUAACAUUUACUUUUAUUCAUAUUUACACAUUUGUUUGUCCAAUAUUCGUUGGUGCUUGGAAAAUGAUUAAUAUGGUGAGUGCGGGUUUUCUGACAUUGUCAUACUUGUUCAUUCUCACAUUUGUACAGUGUGUGCGUGUGCUCUUGCAUUAACAAACUUAACGAAGAAGCUAUUUAAAAAAUCAACGAACGUCAUUAAUUUGUAUCGUAAUGGUAAAUGUUUCGUA